GGACAUGGCACCCUGUGUUCCAGCCACUCCAGCUCCAGCUGUGGCUAAAAGGGACCAAGGCACAGCUUGGGCCGUGCUUUAGAGGGUGCAAGUCCCAAGCCUUGGUGGUUUCCACAUGGUGUUUGGCCUGCAGGUGCACAGAAGACAAGAAUUGAGCUUUGGGAGCAUCUGCCUAGAUUUUAGAGGAUGUAUGGAAAUGCCUAGACAUCAACACAGAAUCUUCACUGAGGCACUGCCUAAUGGAGCUGUCAGAAGACAGCCACUGACCUCCAGACCUAGAAAGAUAGAUCCACUGACAGCUUGCAAUAUGAUCCUGGAAAACCCAUGGGUACUGAAUGCCAGCCCAUGAAAGCAGCUAAAGGGACUGUAUGCUGCAGACCCAGUAGGGAUGCCCAAGGUCUUGGGAGCCCACCCUUUGCAUUAGCCUGCCCAGGAUAUGAGACAUGGAGUCAAAGGAGAUCAUUUUGGAGCUUUAAGAGUUAAUGAUUGCCCUGUUGGAUUUUGGACUUGCAUGGAACCUGUGGCCCCUUCGUUUUGUCCAAAUUCUCCCAUUUGGAAUGGGAACAUUUACCCAAUGCCUGAACCCCCAUUUUAUCUUGGAAAUAACUAACUUGUUUUUGAUUUUACAGGCUCAUAGGCAGAAGGGACUUAUCUUGUCUCAGAUGAGACUUUGGACUUGGACUUUUGGGUUAAUUCCAGAAUGAGUUCACACAUUGGGGGAGUGUUGGGAAGGUGUGAUUGGUUUCAAAAUGGAAAAGGACAUGAGAUUUGGGCAGUGCUAUGGGCAGAAUGAUAAUGUUUGGCUUUGUGUCCCCACUCAAAUCUCAUCUUGAAUUGUAAUCCCCACAUGUUGAGGGAGGAAUCUGGUGUGAGGUGAUUGGAUCAUAGGGGCAAUUUCCCCCAUGCUGUUCUCAUGAUAGUGAUGGAAUUCUCAUGAGAUAUGAUGGUUUAAAAUUGGCAGUUUCUCCUGCAUGUUCUAUCGCUCCUGCCACUUUGUGAAGAAGGUGCCUGCUUCCCCAGAACUGCAAGUCAACUAAACCUCUUAUGUUUAUAAAUUACCCAGUCUCAGGUAGUAUCUUUAUAUCAGUAUGAAAAUUGAUUAAUACAGUAUUAUAGGAUUUUUAGAUGCAAGAAACAUCCUAGAGAUGAUAAAAAUAAAUCAUCUUAAAGGAAUGAUUAAAGUUAAUCUAAUACAGAAGAAAAGCGCUUUCCUGGCAGAGUGGAAAUAAUGGGCAAUGGCACAGAGGCAUGAAACAUGAAGCACACCAGUAAACUCCAAGCAGUUCAAUUUUACUAGCACAUAAAGUUGGAUAAAGGGAGUGGCGGUAAUAUGGAAAAUGAAAAAAAUAGGAGUAUGUCAUGGAGAGUCUUUCUUGACAGGAGAAGUUGCUGUUCAUUGUGUUCAUGCAUGUAAUGGCAUGAUCGAAUUUGUAUUUGAUGUAGAGUAUCUGGACCACUAUGCAGAGGGCUUAAAGGAAGCAAGGCUUAGGGUAGGAAAACAAGUCAAUUAUUAUUGUAGUAGUCCGCAUAAGAACCUAAAUCGAGAAAGUAGCAAUAGGAGUUGCAAAGAGGAAACUGAUUGGAAUAAUACUUCAUAGGAAAAUUAUCAGGUCUUGUUGGCUGUCUGGAUAUGCAGGACAAGGGAGAAGAAAGAAUCUAGGAUGACUAAUAGGUUUUAUUAUUUGAAAUGUCAGGGUAGUGGUGAGAGGUGACAGCCUGCUGUCAGUCCUCACAGCCCUCGCUCGCUCUCGGCGACUCCUCUGCCUGGGCUCCCACUUUGGCGGCACUUGAGGAGCCCUUCAGCCCACCGAUGCACUGUGGGAGCCCCUUUCUGCGCUGGCCAAGGCCAGAGCCAGCUCCCUCAGCUUGCAGGGAGGUGUGGAGGGAGAGGUGCGAGCGGGAACCGGGCCUGCGUGCGGCGCUUGCGGGCCAGCUGGAGUUCCGUGUGGGCAUGGGCUUGGUGGGCCACGCAGUCGGAGCAGACGGCUGGCCGUGCUGGCCCCGGGCAAUGAGGGACUUAGCACCGGGGCCAGCGGCUGCAGAGGGUGUACUGGAUCCCCCAGCAGUGCCAGCCCACCAGCGCUGUGCUCGAUUUCUCGCCGGGCCUUAGCUGCCUUCCUGCAGGGCAGGGCUCGGGACCUGCAGCCUG
rnacentral:lncRNA from 1 species